rnacentral:tRNA from 1 species
AAAGAUUUAGUUUAAUUUAAAACAUUAGCUUGUCAAGCUAAAAAUACAUUUAUUGUAAUCUUUG